AUUGAACGCUGGCGGCAGGCUUAACACAUGCAAGUCGAGCGGAUGAAGGGAGCUUGCUCCUGGAUUCAGCGGCGGACGGGUGAGUAAUGCCUAGGAAUCUGCUUGGUAGUGGGGGAUAACGUCCGGAAACGGGCGCUAAUACCGCCUACGUCCUGAGGGAGAAAGUGGGGGAUCUUCGGACCUCACGCUAUCAGAUGAGCCUAGGUCGGAUUAGCUAGUUGGUGGGGUAAAGGCCUACCAAGCCGACGAUCCGUAACUGGUCUGAGAGGAUGAUCAGUCACACGGGAACUGAGACACGGUCCAGGCUCCUACGGGAGGCAGCAGUGGGGAAUAUUGGACAGUGGGCGAAAGCCUGGUCCAACCAUGCCGCGUGUGUGAAGAAGGUCUUCGGAUUGUAAAGCACUUUAAGUUGGGAGGAAGGGCAGUAAGUUAAUACCUUGCUGUUUUGACGUUACCAACAGAAUAAGCACCGGCUAACUUCGUG
rnacentral:rRNA from 1 species